AUUUACUUGUCUAUUUUACUAACUCAGGUACACACAAAUUGAAAAAAAAUUCCCGCCGGGCUCCAGUUAUAAACUCACGCUUCGUACUGUGUAUAUGUUAUGUAACAGUCUUUUGUUCACUCCUGACAGAAAAAACCCUGCAAUCCACACAGAAUAUACAGGAAAAUCACAGAGGAGGUCACAUGGACAAAGAAUGUAUACACAUGUAUACACGUGCCCGAAUACCUAAGAUUAAUGAUUUCAUCAUAUGCAUUAAACAAGAUCAGACAUCAGUUCUUCUUUUCAAAUUCAAUUAAUUACUUAGUAAGGUUCUUAAUCGCCUUAUUUGCCACAUUUGAAGAUAGUUACAUGUAUACAUAUAGUUUCAGUCACGCUGAAACCUUACUAUACAUUUUAGUAUGUACGGAUUCAUUAUCAUUAGGCUAGAAUUAAACUUACACCUGUUGAAAAUAAAUGAUAUCACUAUUAAACUCAAAUCAAUUUUAGUAAUAGUUUCAGCAAUGCGUAAACCAUUUGGAAUCUUAACUUAAAGUUUCAGCAUACUGAAACCUAGCGGAAAUGUUCUGAAACUGAUUGAUAUUUCCAUAAUAAUUUACACAACUAUUCACACGAUUCAAAUUUAGUUUCCGCAUUGCGGAAACCAUCAGGAAUCUUAGACUAAAGUUUCUGCUGACUGAAACCUAACGGAUACUUGCUGAAUCGAUAUAAUGGUUUCCGCAUUGCGGAAACUAUACAUGAAACUUCAACUUCAAGUUUCAGCAAGGUUUCCAUAUAGUUUCAGUUUUGCUGAAACUUGAUUUUUCAUCCAGUGUUACAUAAUUCUUUUAGUUUGCAGUCAAUUUGUUUGUUUAUAUUCACUUACACUGAGAAGAAUGGGACAUCAUGAAACAGGAUUGAGAAGAAUAAAUAGACUUGGUCAGAGGAAUGUAAGAGUGCAGAUGAAUUACGCACCACGGAUCCACCGUAAUUGGAUGUCAUUGUGUGAAAUGUGUCUCCAAUUUGCUAUUCAAUACGGAUAUUCUCCAUAUAUCUGUUCCCAGUAUUGCCCUCAACCGAAUUUCAGGAAACCCACGUAUACAGUAAAAACAUAAUGAAAGAAAGACAGAUGAAUAUUCAAUAUCAAUAAGUUUCAACAAUGAUUGAACCAGUUUGAUUGAAUUGUUUGUUUAUUAUUGUAGACCUGAAGCAUGCUAACACUCAACAUGGUCAGCACCCAUAAAACCAAUGCAUAUUUUCUAACAUGCCAUAUUGAACUCUAAAUAAUAAAAAUAAAACACCAAAUCAGAUUCACAACAGAUUUAUUCAUUUUCAUGUAUUGUAAUCCACCCCCCUCUGUGGCAUUAUUUGGUCUUGGCUUCAAGACAAUGAGUAAAAUAUGUGUAAAUAAAGUAUUUGUAAAUUACAUCAUAAUUUUACAAUGGAAAUGCCAUUAGUGCAUUGACACCAAAUGGGUAUGGUCAAAAACACAUCAUUGUCUAAAAAAUUCAACAAUUUUCAAACAACCAACUGUGCAAAUUUAUUCUUUCCGGUUAACGGCAAAGAAAAUAUUUGCAACAUAAAAAAUUAGCAAAUGGCUCAAAAAGAAUAUUACAACUUCAACAAUUGCAAUCAAUAUAAAUGCAAAACACCAACUUGGUCAACUAAGAUUCCGGUAAACGGCAAUUCGAGCCAAAAAUUGUUCAACUUCAAAUUGUCAUUAUCAAAUAAUUUCAACUGCACAUCAAUUGUGCACAAGUAGAUCGGGAACAACACGCGCAUUCAUCUGGUAUGACGGGAAGACAGGAACAACAAGAAGCACAUUCUUCAAAAUGCAAUUUUCAUGAAGUGGUGGGUUUUCUAGUCGAGACUCCUUAGUUGAACUUUAGUCAGUUGAAAAACUGUGAAGGUUAACCAAUACUGAAUCUGUGAACUUUUUUCCAACCAAUGAUUUCUUAAAGCUCAUCCUGAAAUACAAAGUUCAAUACGCAGUAAAAUUCUUAUAUUUAAACAAAUCAAAGGGGUAACAAGGGUGGGAGGGGAAAAUAUUUUUCUCACAACUUUUUCAUAUGCAUCCCGGUUGCUGCCUUUAUCAAAAAGGAAGUUUGUUAAACGUAAACCAAAACUGUACAAAUUUCCGGAAUAAAAUAUUCCGGAAUAAUUAAAAAACUUAGCUUCACUCUAAAAUAAAUUGAUUUAUUUUUUAAUUAAUAAAUCUUAUUAUUGUAGACCUGAAGCAUGCUAACACUCAACAUGGUCAGCACCCAUAAAACCAAUGCAUAUUUUCUAACAUGCCAUAUUGAACUCUAAAUAAUAAAAAAAAAACACCAAAUCAGAUUCACAACAGAUUUAUUCAUUUUCAUGUAUUGUAAUCCACCCCCCUCUGUGGCAUUAUUUGGUCUUGGCUUCAAGACAAUGAGUAAAAUAUGUGUAAAUAAAGUAUUUGUAAAUUACAUCAUAAUUUUACAAUGGAAAUGCCAUUAGUGCAUUGACACCAAAUGGGUAUGGUCAAAAACACAUCAUUGUCUAAAAAAUUCAACAAUUUUCAAACAACCAACUGUGCAAAUUUAUUCUUUCCGGUUAACGGCAAAGAAAAUAUUUGCAACAUAAAAAAUUAGCAAAUGGCUCAAAAAGAAUAUUACAACUUCAACAAUUGCAAUCAAUAUAAAUGCAAAACACCAACUUGGUCAACUAAGAUUCCGGUAAACGGCAAUUCGAGCCAAAAAUUGUUCAACUUCAAAUUGUCAUUAUCAAAUAAUUUCAACUGCACAUCAAUUGUGCACAAGUAGAUCGGGAACAACACGCGCAUUCAUCCACAUGGCGAAAGUGAAUGCAUGCACUGUAUGUAUUCAGUGAAGCCACCGCCACCAUGUGGGGGAAGCGGGUAGUUCCUUAAGCCUAGACCUUGCCACAUCCCACAUGAACAAUAAACUUGGUUCAAAACUAGUAGAGUUUGGGAUGAACAAGUAUCCCAGUUUUGCUAAAUUGUUAAAUAGCUGCACAAAUUGUAUUUAAAAAUAUUUCAGUUCCUUUUUCAGACAAAUGAACACCAUCCCUGUCAAACAACAGCUCAUCAUUGGGUUUAAUAUCUGGGUACUUAAUGUAGCCACCAAUAACAACCAUUUUCCCCUUUCCCCUUUGAUCAGCUUUGGAGUGUUCCAGAUAUAAUUUUUAAAGAUUUAUCCAAUGACAACUACAGGUUUUUAAACUGGACUGCAUGACAUACAGGUUGUUUCUUCCCCUCGGUUAUCUCACCUACCCUAAAAUAUCCACACACAAAAAAACUAAACUAUAAGCAGCUGCAAAAAGUUUUGCUUCAUAAAUAUUAUUGCAGACAAUUGGCAAUGAUUUCAAUAUGCUCUCCAAAAUGUUUAAUGUUAUUGGCAAUCUGAUAUCUUUAGACUUAACCUUUCUUCUUUAACCUUAUAAUAAUUUUCUGACUAUAAAAUUUUGAGUCACAUCUGUGUAAUUAUACAACUUGAGAUAGUAUGAAAUUCCAGACAGAUCUAUAGGUCUUUGCUGUAGAUUCUCCCAACCCUUUUGCUGACAUGUAACCAACAAAUUGUAUAAUUUGCUCUAAAGGAGGGGGCCAAAGCUUCUCGAGGGUAAUAGUAUCACGAAAUUCACCGCCUAUUAAAAUCCCUUGCAUUUGGAACACCUUUGCUAAAAAAAUUUUAACUCCCAACAAUACUCUGAAUUUCUUGAAGCUGGAGAGAUUUUUUCAUCAAACUUGAUGUUAGAAGUGAAGUUAAUUGCUGUAUUUUUUCUGGUGGGAUUCUUACAACCAUGUCUGAGGUGUCUAUUUCUAAACCUAGAAAAAUUAUGUUUGUACAAGGACCCAUUGUAUUUUCUUGUGCUAAGGGAACAGCAAUGAAUUCACACAAGUCCUGGAACCCUUGCAUCAGCUGAACACACUCAUCUGAACCAGAGGCACCCAAAAAUAAUUUUUUUUUUUUUUUUUUUACCCGUUUCAAUUCGUCUUUUCAAUUCCCAUUGCAAAAAUGUUGAAAUUUUUUCAAAUAGAUUACAAGAAAUUGCACACCCCAUUGGCAGGCACUUAUCAAUGUAAUAAUUUCCCUCAAACUUGAAACCUAGGAGGUCAAAAUCUCCUGGGUUUAUAAUCAUUAGUCUAAAUAAAAACUUUAUAUCCAUUUUUGCCAAAACAGUGCCUUUACCUAACCGUGCAACUUCCUGUAAUACCUGAUCUAGAGAUGUGUAUGCAACUGAACAGUCCUCUGGGUCUAUGAAAUGAUUGACACUAUUCAUUUCUGGAUAAGAAAGAUGUGUUAUUAAUCUCCAGCUACCUCCGGACUUGGGGACUAUACCUAUUGGCGAAAACUCAUAAGUUGGAUAUUGGUUUGUUUGAAAAGGGGCCUGCAAUUCUGCCUAUAAAAGAAACCUCACUAUUUAUUUUUUCCGUGCUGCUUCUGGAAAUUGCAAAAAAGAUUUUAAUAUUUUUUGACUUAGCCUUGGACCCUUAUAGCCAAUUCUAAAACCAAACUGAAAACCUUGUAAUAAUUCAGUUCCUAUAGCCUUAUUUGAAUAAUUUUGUAGUAGUGGUUUUAAAUUAUGAAUUUUGAUUGGGUUAUAUCCCAACUUCCAGACAUUGAGCCUAGUAGUGAU